CAAAAGGUCCUUUUCAGGACCACCACUUGAUCCUCAAAAAGCUGU
rfam:Mesocricetus auratus contig023757, whole genome shotgun sequence.